rnacentral:rRNA from 1 species
GACGAACGCUGGCGGCGUGCUUAACACAUGCAAGUCGAACGGAAAGGCCUGCUUUCCCUUGUGGAUUGCGGGUACUCGCGUGGCGAACGGGUGAGUAACACGUGAGUGAUCUGCCCCCAACUUGGGUAUAAGCCUGGGAAACUGGGUCUAAUUCCCGAUAGGACUGCAGGGUGGUGCCUGUGGUGGAAAACGAUUUUCUUGUGGUUGGGGAUGAGCUCGCGGCCUAUCAGCUUGUUGGUGGGGUAAUGGCCUACCAAGGCGGCGACGGGUAGCCGGCCUGGGAGGGUGGACGGCCACAGUGGGACUGAGAUACGGCCCAGGCUACUACGGGAGGCAGCAGUGGGGAAUAUUGCACAAUGAGCGGAAGCCUGAGGCAGCGACGCCGCGUGGGGGAUGACGGGCGUCGGGUGGUAAACUCCUUUCGACCGCGAGGAAGCCACCUGGUUGGAAGGGUGGUGACGGUAGUGGUAGAAGAAGCACCGGCUAACUACGUG